UACGAAGGGUGCAAGCGUUACUCGGAAUUACUGGGCGUAAAGCGUGCGUAGGUGGUGAGUUAAGUCUGUCGUGAAAGCCCCGGCUCAACCUGGGAAUGGCGAUGGAUACUGGCUCGCUAGAGUGCGGUAGAGGAGAGUGGAAUUCCCGGUGUAGCAGUGAAAUGCGUAGAGAUCGGGAGGAACACCGGUGGCGAAGGCGGGGUCUCUGGGCCGAUACUGACGCUGAGGAGCGAAAGCGUGGGGAGCGAACAGG
rnacentral:rRNA from 1 species